AGACGGACCGUGCGAACGUUGUUCGGAAUUACUGGGCUUAAAGGGCGCGUAGGCGGCUGGCUCAGUCGGUGGUGAAAGCCCUCGGCUCAACCGAGGAAGGGCCACCGAUACUGGCUGGCUUGAGGCGGGUAGAGGUGCGUGGAACUACCGGUGGAGCGGUGAAAUGCGUUGAUAUCGGUAGGAACGCCGGUGGCGAAGGCGACGCACUGGGCCCGACCUGACGCUGAGGCGCGAAAGCCAGGGGAGCGAACCGGAUUAGAAACCCCUGUAGUCC
rnacentral:rRNA from 1 species